rfam:Stegodyphus mimosarum contig121468, whole genome shotgun sequence.
GCCUUCGUGGUGUAGUGGUCAGCACGCUCGACGCGUAUUCGAGACAUCCGUGGUUCGAGUCCCGGUCACAGCA